CGACAACUGCCUUGCUUGCCCAGUAAGUUUGGGCACAUAUGUACAGGAUGUCACGUCUUAUAAAAUGUUGUAUUUUCUCUUUUAGGUGGACUAUCUUACAUAUGCAGCUCGAUGCGGCAUGGAACCAAAUCCCACACUCUUAGAAGUUAUGAAAACCGAAUUUUUAUUUCAUACCGGAUCCUAAAAUUGAUUAUUACGCUUUAUUUAUGUUCGAUCCUGAUGCACCGAAUCCAGAAGAACCUAUCUUCAGCCCAAUACUCCAUUACGCUUCCUGCAAUAUUCUGAAGAACAAGACAGACACAGGCACAACGCUCGCUGAUUAUCUACUACCUACGCCUUUAUCCGUAGCGCCUCACAGAUACAUAACUUUCGUGUUUAAACAGAAAGACAUUUUACCGGUGGAGCUAUGUUUUCAAGGAAGAUACUCUUUGAAUCGAUUCUUCUUUCCAAUGGAGAAAACGAUAACUGAACUGAACUUAACAUAUUACGGCGUCCAAUUCUAUAGUGUAGGCUUAGCAUAAUAAUGAAUGAAUGUUUUACCUAAGGUGCAUUUUAAUGAUACAUACAAGUACAUAGAAUCUUAGGAAUUGAAUGCAUUUCGAUAAAUGGUUUGGAAAAUUUCAUAAGGAAUAGCUAUAAUAAGCACACAUUGAAAGUUGUAUUGCGCUCAGGAAAAAAUCACGAUGUUUUGACAAAUCAUCUUUAUGCAGCUUUAUUUGUAUAAUUACACACCGUUAAAGGUCCACAUAAACAUACAAAUAAAAAUUAUUAAGGUUGUGCUGCCAACAUCAAUGAACUUUCCAAACAUCAGUGCGCUGCGCUCAGCCUUUGUUGAUAUAUCGAAUAAUUUCACCCUCGCACAAAAAUUUUCAUUCUUAAAUUCCUAUAUAUUAUCUAU
rnacentral:lncRNA from 1 species